rnacentral:rRNA from 1 species
GUAGGUGGCAAGCGUUGUCCGGAAUUAUUGGGCGUAAAGCGCGCGCAGGCGGUCCUUUAAGUCUGAUGUGAAAGCCCACGGCUCAACCGUGGAGGGUCAUUGGAAACUGGGGGACUUGAGUACAGAAGAGGAAAGCGGAAUUCCAAGUGUAGCGGUGAAAUGCGUAGAGAUUUGGAGGAACACCAGUGGCGAAGGCGGCUUUCUGGUCUGUAACUGACGCUGAGGCGCGAAAGCGUGGGGAGCAAACAGGGAUUAGAUACCCUGGUAGUCCACGCCGUAAACGAUGAGUGCUAAGUGUUAGGGGGUUUCCCGCUCCUUAGUGCUGCAGCUAACGCAUUAAGCACUCCGCCUGGGGAGUACGGCCGCAAGGCUG